GACGAACGCUGGCGGCGUGCUUAACACAUGCAAGUCGAACGGUGAAGCCCCUUCCUUUUUGGUGGGUGUGGAUGAGUGGCGAACGGGUGAGUAACACGUGAGUAACCUGCCCCCUUCUUCUGGCUAACCGCAUGAAAGUGUGGCUAAUACGGGAUAUUUUGGGUCUGUCGCAGGAUGGGUCUGGGAAAGAUGUUGUUUCGGUGGGGGCUGGGCUCGCGGCCUAUCAGCUUGUUGGUGGGGUGAUGGCUUACCAAGGUGGUGACGGGGAGUCGGCCCGAGGGGGAGGACGGGCUGGUGGGGAAGGAUACUCAGCCACAAUGGGAAUGAGACGCGGCAGUGAGGCAUAUGGGAGGAUGGGGGGGAGACUGAUGCAGAGACGGCGCGAGCGGGACGGAGCCCUUCCGGGUGUAAACCGAUGUCGUCAGUGAAGCAGGCUUGUCUCGUCUGUGAGUGUGUUGACGGUAGCUGGAGAAGAAGCGCCGGCUAACUACGUG
rnacentral:rRNA from 1 species